rnacentral:tRNA from 1 species
GGAGAAGUGGCUGAGUGGUUGAAAGCGGCAGAUUGCUAAUCUGCUGUAUAAUAAUAAUUAUACCGAGGGUUCGAAUCCCUUCUUCUCCU